rnacentral:rRNA from 1 species
UACGGAAGGCAGCAGUGGGGAAUAUUGCACAAUGGGCGCAAGCCUGAUGCAGCCAUGCCGCGUGUAUGAAGAAGGCCUUCGGGUUGUAAAGUACUUUCAGUCGUGAGGAAGGUGUUAAGGUUAAUAACCUUAGCAAUUGACGUUAGCGACAGAAGAAGCACCGGCUAACUCCGUGCCAGCAGCCGCGGUAAUACGGAGGGUGCGAGCGUUAAUCGGAAUUACUGGGCGUAAAGGGCACGCAGGCGGUUAAUUAAGUUGGAUGUGAAAUCCCCGGGCUUAACCUGGGAAUGGCAUUCAAGACUGGUUAGCUAGAGUCUUGUAGAGGGGGUAGAAUUCCAUGUGUAGCGGUGAAAUGCGUAGAGAUGUGGAGGAAUACCGGUGGCGAAGGCGGCCCCUGGACAAAGACUGACGCUCAUGUGCGAAAGCGGUGGGGAGCAAACAGGGAUUAGAUACC